AUCAAACGGUAAAUGUUUCGCACAAAGUUUCUCCAAUCCGGAUGAUACUCACUAGAAACACAGGUAUAAUGAUUGAGAAUAGCUACAAAACCAGGGACCUGGAUAUUUCUCUUCCUAGAGAGAGAUGAGGGCUCCUACAUUUUAAAGCCCAUUGAGUGCCCUGUAUAAAAUGAAUAAUAGUAUACGGAAAAUAACCCGGAAUAUUGUACUACGUGACCCCUCAUUUCUGGACCUGUUAUUGUGAGAUUAAUGACUUCAGUUUAAUUGACUAUAAUUAGAAGUACAUACCUUUCAUUAUGGAUUCUCCGUUAACUUUCUAGUAUUGAGCCAAACAUUGAAACAGAGCCAGAAGACCUUUCUGCAAUAAUCAUGACACUAGUGAAGACGAUGAGAAAUCAGGCGUAAAAAUGGUUCACUACAUGUGAUUGUAACUAUGUUUUUAAUUAGGGUGAAUGUAUUAGUGAUCAUGAUGAUGAAGAUAUUGUACUGAGAGACUUAUGAAUGAUAGUCACAAGUGUGGUAAAAUAGUUUAUUGAUUAUGUGUAUUAUUGUUACUUUUCCUUAGAAUUCUUGAUACGGAAGAUUAUUCUGGAAAUAUUAGUAUAGUAGGUGCUCCUUUAAUUCAUAUUAAUUUAUUAAUUUAGCAAGGCCACUAGUAUACAUUGUAUAGUUACCUUAUCUCACUAAGUUUCAAGACAAGAAUAUCUUAGGUUGUGAUGAACUGAAACUUUCUUGUUUAAAGCUCUUUUUAAGUUCACUUGAAAUAGCAUUGAAUUUUUUUGUGAACCUGCCUUCAUCAUGCUGGUUAAGGAAGUUAUGUUAUGGAUCUAAGCUUUGUAGGACUAUGUGUUACAAGAUACCUUUGAAAGAUCUGCUUCACUACAUGGAACCCCAGAGUUCAUUAAUGUUGGAGAUUUUGGGAAAUUAAUUUCUCAGUAAUGUGUCUUAAGUUACAAAACAUGAAGUGUCUUACUUGUGGAACAUUGAUAGACUAUGAUGAAGAAAACAAUUAUAAUCUUUUUUUGGUUUUAAUAAUAAUUCCAAAUCAUUUUAAAUUAAUAAUGAAUAAUAAUUAAGUAUUAAUUAAGCAUAACAGGAAGUACGUCAUAAUGAGGCUUAAUGAAUAUCGUUAUCGUUGUCGGAUCAGGUCUGGCACCAGCAUAAAUCGUGGCUGAUUCGUCAAUAUCGGAUCAGGACAUUGCCCCAAAUCCUCGGUCCAGGCUCGAUCAUCAGUAAUGAUUCAGGCCUGUAUCAGGACUGGUCUAUGUUCCAACUCUUGGGCGUGUAGGCGUGGUGUAAAGUGCAGUAAUUAAAAAUGGCGGAUUUUCUGUCCAGCAAAUACAUACUACUCAGAAACUAAAGUUUUAAAGCUAAAACUCAUCCUAGAAAUUUUUGUGAAGAAGACCUAGUGGUAUAGAAAUUACUGAAGAGGCUAAUUGUAUUAAUUGUAACGGAAAUCUUUUACUGGAAGUGAGUAAGAUUCCUGCAGAUGUACAGGCUAAAGGUGGUCCUCUUAGUAUCAGUGGUGAGGUAGCUCAUGCCAUCAAUCUCAGUGGACUGAGGGAAGUGUGUAUUGGGAGAGUAGAUAAAGAUUAAGUGACACUUGAUUUGGUUGAAUUCAUAUUUAAAAUUGAUAAAGGAGUGUACAUAUCAAGGAAGCUAUUGUUUGCUGGUAUGCUGUUGAGAGUCAGUGGAUUGUGGACUAAAGGGGAAACUGUCAAGAGUGGAGUGCAUGGUGUGAUUCCAUUGACAAACUCCAUAAAAGGUGUAAGACCAUUGAUUGAGAGAUACAGGACUCACAACAGUUCAAGGACCUCUACCAGUUUGCGUUUAAUUUUGCAAAAAUCCCGGGGC
rnacentral:lncRNA from 1 species